UCUAUCUCUCAUUUUUCCCACAACUCUCCUGAGUAGUAUUACUCUGCAGAAAUCUCGCCAGAGUUAGCACCACCGAACCGCCGUCCACCCUCUCCCGUAACCGAGCCGACCAAGCCAACGGAAAGCUUAGUCGAAGGGUACCAUCGGAUUCGUGACGACGAGACGAAGCCGGAGACACCAAGCGCUGCCACCGCCGACGAGCCACGCGCCGCCACGCGCCGGAAGAAGGAAGCGCGUGACGCCCACGCGCAGCCACGCGCCGCCGAGUCCUCGGAGCGUGGAGCUCACGCGCCGCCGCCGGUGACCGGAACCGCCGCUGUUCUCCGGAGCCGCCGUGACCGGCAGCCGUCCAUUCACCGCCGGGAUUCCGCCGCCGCGUCGUCGCCGGACCGCCGUCGCCGCCGGUGACUUUUCCGAUCCGGAGUCGGUUUAUUCAUUCGAGGUCCAGAAGUCGUAGGUUCAGCAUUGCUAAGGUGAGGGCUAUUUCCAAACCGCUGUGCUUUGUUCGAGAAUCCUAAUUUACGAAUAGUGCAGCACUGAAUGUGAUGUGUUUCAAUGAUCGAGUCUAGUUAGUUUGAUUGCUUAAAUUGGACAUAGGAAGAUAGAUGAUUAAACCCAUUUGUUUGUCACAUACUGUUAAAUGUUUUUUUGUUAUAAAUAUAUAUAUAUAUAUAUAUAUAUAUUAUAUGAGAUAUAGCGGAUACAGAUAAAGGAACUUCUGUAUGGUGCCGCAUUGUUUGAGGUAGGGGUGAGGGCAAUGCAUAAUCGAUCUGUUGCCCUCCACCUUAAGAUCGAUAAGCGUCCCAGGGGCGGUGUGAGUGGGCACUAUCCCAUGAGUUACCUCUGUGUGAGGGUGUGAUUGGGCACUAUCCCAUAAAUGAUCUCGUUGAGGGUGUGAUUGGCCACUAUCCCUCCGUAGGAAAAUUGUAUGUUGAUUGAGCACUGUAGGUGCUGUGUUUGCUCAUAUUUUGUACUCCAUUAUUUUGCGAUUAGUUUUCUUGGCUGAGUCAGUGACAUGCGGACUUAGCAUCCCAUACCUCACUGAGCGACUCCCCUGUUGCUCACCCCUCUUUCCCCAUUUCAGGUGAGCCAGACGAGUAGUUAUGACUUGAUGAGUUGGGAUGUGUCAUUUUGGGAUGGAUUAUCGUUUUCAGUAUUCUAUUCGAGACUUUUA